AGUGAACGCUGGCGGUAGGCCUAACACAUGCAAGUCGAACGGGAGCACAGUAAGAGUUUGCUCUUACGGGUGGCGGGUGGCGGACGGGUGAGGAAUACAUCGGAAUCUACUUUUUCGUGGGGGAUAACGUCGGGAAACUUAUGCUAAUACCGCAUACGACCUACGGGUGAAAGCAGGGGAUCUUCGGACCUUGUGUGUUUGAAUGAGCCGAUGUCGGAUUAGCUAGUUGGCGGGGUAAAGGACCACCAAGGCGACGCUCCGUAGCUGGUCUGAGAGGAUGAUCAGCCACACUGGAGCUGAGACACGGUCCAGACUCCUACGGGAGGCAGCAGUGUGGAAUAUUUGACAAUGGGCGCAAGCCUGAUCCAGCCAUACCGCGUGGGUGAUGAAGGCCUUCGGAUUUUAAAGCACUUUUGUUAGGAGAGAAGAGCAGCGCGUUUAUACCCCACUGUACUGACGGUACCCAGAGAAUAAGCACCGGCUAACUUCGUG
rnacentral:rRNA from 1 species